rnacentral:rRNA from 1 species
CACGUAGGGGGCGAGCGUUGUCCGGAUUUAUUGGGCGUAAAGGGCUCGUAGGCGGCUCAGUAAGUCGGGUGUGAAACCUCCAGGCUCAACCUGGAGACGCCACCUGAUACUGCUGUGGCUAGAGUCCGGUAGGGGAGCAUGGAAUUCCUGGUGUAGCGGUGAAAUGCGCAGAUAUCAGGAGGAACACCGAUGGCGAAGGCAGGUCUCUGGGCCAUAACUGACGCUGAGAAGCGAAAGCAUGGGGAGCGAACAGG